CAAGCAGAUAAAUCAGCCUCUGCCAACCCAGUCCUCCUCACAGCACCCAUCAGUCAGCUAAAUGGGCCACACCUGCUGCAAAUUUAAGGCUACUUGCACUCCAGCAGAUGGAGGUUGGUAAGGUGUGUGUUUGCGUUUAUGUCCUAGCAGAUAUAGAAGCAUACGAGUAGAUUUUCUUGAAGGUUUACAGAUUAAAAUCUCAUUUUAGAGAAGUUUUUCCAGUAAGCCAUACCCACUCAUUCAUAGACACAUUAAUACAGAGCUUUACUGUGUACCUUGAAGGACUCACACUCAGCUGGGGUUCAGUAAUGCAUCCUGGCAAAGGACACUAACAUAUGGACCGAGGAACCAGGUAUCAAACCACCGAUCUUUGGAUCAGUAUAUUCUACCUCCUGAGUCACAGGGUCAGCUCCCCUAAUCAUCGUCACUGCAACAGGACUUCAACAUUAGCGUGGCCUCCACCCUUCGCUUUCCAUCCCUCUGCUAGACUAAACAUUUGUCUUUCCAUUCAUGGCUGCAUUUGUAUUCCAUUGAAAUGGUUUCCUGGUGGCGUAGCGAGGUGGGGGGAGGAAUGGGUACAAAGUCCACGCUCAGGCUCGGAGUUUUCCACGUCACUGCAUGUUUAGGGUCACACGUGGUCCGGACCCUCUCUGAACACUACAUGUUUAAAAUGCAGCACAGCACGAAUUCACAUACUUGCUCAUCAGACCUGCAGCCUCCCUGUCAUCCAGCGCUCCCAUUGCUCUCCCCAGGCCUAAGGCUCUGCUCCGGAUUUCACUCUUUAUUUAUUUACUCUGGACUCUCUGCUCGGUUCAGCUACAAUUCCUCUGCUACUCUUACGCAGCCAGCGACCCGCCCGGCUCUCCACGCAUCCAGCCACACACUCUGCCCCGGCUCAACAUCCCAUCUGCAACGCGUGCAGCCCUGCAGUGAUUAUUAUUCAUCUUUUAUCUACACAGAUCUUGGCCGAGGGAAAAAGAUAUUUUCCCAAAAAUGUGAUGCUGUAUAAAAUGUUAAAAAAAAAAAAAAAGGCAGAAUGAAUCUAAACUGACACAUUUUACUAUUUCUAAUUAUUUUUUUAUUUUUUUUUUUUUUUACAUAGGUUUAAUAUCAGCUCAUUUUCAAUUUGGUAGCAGUAAGACGUCUCAAAACAGCUGAGUCAGGGUCAAAAAAGGACAGAAUAGUAAGUAAUUUUAAAAGGAGACAGCCAUUUUGCAAAUACUUGAGUAAAUUGGUAACAGAUCAAUAUCAUGACUGGAUAUAAAAAGAACCUGAGUUCAAAAGUAAAGAUUGACAGAGGUUCAUCAAUCUGCAAAAAAACCUAAGUCUACAAAUUCCAGAAUAUAAAAAAGUGAAUACUUUAAAUGUUCUCUUUAUCUACAGUACAUAAUAUUAUCAAAAGAUUCCAGGAGUCUGGAGAAAUCUCUGUGCACAAAGGCCAAGGCCUAAAAAAGAAAAUCUGUGCUGGAUGUCUACGGCAUUUCAAACAGCACUGCAUUCAAAGCAGGAAUGAUUCUGUCACAGACUUUACAGCAUGGGCUCAGGAACAUUUCCACUCAUCACUGUCUGUGAACACAGUUUGCUAUGCCAUCCACAAAUGAAGGUUAAAGCAAAGAUGAAGCCUGCUAUCUUGUGCGAGACCAAGUGGAAAUCCUAGAAUCCGAUAUGAAUGACACAAACUGUUUUACUGUAGAGUGUGAUAUGAAGGAGGGGGGGAAACACUAUUCCAUUUGACUGGAAAAUGCCAUAAAACAGACCUGGGGUGGCACUGGGAAGUAAAUGACUCCUUUGGCACACUUAAGCACUUUGAGAUGUUUAUUAUUGACAGCUAACACCCUUUAAAUUUGCUAAAAUUACAUGCUGAUGGUUCAGAGACGUACGCUGAGAUGUAACGUGUAUUUUUUAUGUACUCAUCAAGACUAUUAAGGAGAAGAAAAUAAUUUGAUUUCCAAACAGCACAAAUCUCAUGCAGCCAUUUCACAUCAGGGCUGUAAUAAUCUACGCAUGCCAUUUCUAACAGACAGUGAAAUUAUAUCUGCAGCAGCUUCUGCAUCAAUCUUAGAAAACAUAAGAGUGUGUCACACAAACCAAAAGAGAAAGAAAAAAAGGAGAGUAAAUGAUUAGACUGAAAUUCUGGAAUGAUUCUAUAUUAACAAUUCUGAAACAGCAUUAACAUAAUACGUUACGUAAGCGUUGAGAGUUUCAUUUAGGCUCUUUGGUCAUCUAUCACGUCAGGAACGAGUUACCUUUGUAUAGUGACAACACAGCAAGGCAAACAAAACAGUUCUCCAUAGACACCGUGGGAAUAAAACACAAGUGCAAUCAGAAUGUUUGAAAUUAAAGAUGCAUUCACCUACAGCUAUUUUACUAGUGUGAGGCUUGGAGAGCAAAGACAUUUCAAGCAUCCAACUGGACUAAUGAUUUUAGACAUUGGGGAAAUCGUUGAACUAUACCCAUAAUUGAGCCUGUGAUAGCCUUGGCAACCCUGAUAAAGGCAUCCUAAUGGGCUGAGGCAAAUUAUCUGUCUCACAACAAGCAACCCUCGCAAAGGCCCAGGUCUGAGCUGCAUAACUACUUUUGCAGAAAUGAAGACAAGAGGGAUUAACAGUUAUGUCUGCAAUAAGAAUGCACAUAUGAAACAGAACAUCAGCUUUUCUCUGGAAAGUAUUUGAAGAAAGUGCAUGUCAAAUGCCAAAACAUCCAGCAAACAGUGAAUCCACUCAAGCGUUUGCUCCUGAUUCCUCCAUUUCUGUCUCAACAGAUUCUUACAUUUCCAUGCUUGAUCUGCUGUGUCGCUUCAUUUCGCAGAUUGCCUUCUCUUUGCAAAAGGAGGACAGCCCCAGCUGACUAAUCAAAAUGCUGGCAGGGCCCGAAGAGAGGCCAGGAAUCUCAGAAAACAAACACCGGCAGUAAAUCAAAAGUGAUUUUAGAGGAUGAUCACAGAUGGUGAGACUGAAAAGUGCUCCUACAAAUUCUGUCAGUCCCCGGUGAUUCACACAUUUCCCAAGCUGCUGUCUACACUUCUCCAAAAUAGCUUGUGUCCCAUUAUAAAUGCAAAUAAAAAACAUGGCUUGAGACCAGUUCUGGAGGUUUAUGCACUAACUGACAGGUGAGAGAUGGUCGUGGAACCACCAAAAUAACCGUAACUGGAAGACAAACAUGCUCAAAGAUGCAAAAUAAAAUCCACAUAGAGCUUAAGUCAUAAUGUUGCACAUUUCCAGCAGCUCGAGUUCACAAACAUUCAGCUGUGGGUGUGGUGUGUGAGCACAACCAUUAAUCCCGCAGGAAGACAAAUGCAAGCGCACACACACAA